rnacentral:lncRNA from 1 species
UUAUUUUUCUUGAGAUUCUCUUAGGACUCUAAGCUGAAGCUAUACCCAGUGAUGUAUAAAUCAAAAUAUUUCCAUUAGAGGGAGCCGUUUACCUAGAUUAACCCUGGAAUGUUAGUAUCAGAACAGUAUUUUGUAGGAAUGUAAGGCAUAUACAUAUAAUAAGCAUAUUUCCACCCCUUAAGGUCACUUACUUCAACAUGCAUUUUUACAUGAAAAUAAUCUUGAAAACAUUUUUUAGAGCAGUUUUAAAAUUUCAAUGCCAUUCUCACCUUGGAAUGCAGGAAACCUUCAAGAUAUUUCCUUAAGUCCAAGUACAGUGUUUAUGAUAUAGACAGGACAUUUCAAACGUUAAUGUACAUGUGUGUCUCCUGAGAAUCUUGUUAAAAUGCAUCUCUUGAUUCAUUAAGUCUGGAUUGGUCCUGAGAUUGUGCGUUUCUCACAGGCUCCCAGGUGAUGCCUCAUUGUUUGUUUAUGGACCUCACUCACUUUGAGUUAGCAAGGACCCAGAGAGUUCUUGGGAAAUUGAAGUUCCCUUUUAACAACAAUAACAAAAUAGCAUGUACACUUCACAAGAUGUCAGAGGCUUUGUGUAUUUUGUUUGCUUAAGUAUCUCCAGUGCCCUGAACAAUUCCUGAAACAGAGUAAAUGCUCAGUAAAUAUUUGUUGAAUGAAUGAGGACAUGUCUAAUUGUUUUAUGUAUAUUAACUCAUUUAAUCUUGACAGCCUCUGAGGUAAGUUCUAUUAUUCCUGGCUCACAGAGAAGCAAAUAAGUCAUAUGUAGUGAAACCAGGAUUUGAACCCAAAUAAUUGAUCAGUGUGACUCAAGAGCCCAUGCUUUAACAAAAAUACUCUACUGUCACUGCCACCCGUUUUUAGGUAAGUUGUUACCAACACAGAGCUCAAGUAUCAGACUGAUACAGGUCAUUAUUGUCCAAAGGCCUGAUAUAUCUGUUUAUGGUUGCUUGUUUCUGUCUGAUUGUGAGGUUUGCUAUGCCACAACAUAGAGUCCUGAUGAUGGUAGUCAAGACUGCACACUGUUGGUGUGCGGAGCAUUUCCCCACUCUGAUUGGGCUCACACAUCGGGAGUGGGAAAGAAACAAGAGAGACAUUCAGUCACUCAGGGUUAAUGAAGGAACAAGGGGCCCACUAGUCCUUAACCCAUUAUCUAAUGUGGUUAAGUCUUAUAGUUUCAUCAGCCAAAGGAAUGAAUUGUCAUAAUCCCAAAUUAAAGAUGAUUAAUAAAGACAGGAGCUCCUCAAGUGUUUGUUGGCAACCAGCCAAAUGGAGUUAUUUAAUAUCUAUUUUUCAGGGUUUCUGCUGCACCAGAGAUCAGUACUAAGCUAUCUUCUGUGACUUUCUGAUAGGAAUUGCCAUUCCAGUUAAUCUUCAUAUUAUCAGAAGAAAGUUUUAUUUGGCGUUGUUACUUUUUCUAAUCUUCCAAAGCCACCAAUUUAAUCUUACUUGCAAAUCUGGC